rnacentral:lncRNA from 1 species
UGAGACUGUUUCAAAUAUCUACGUUUUUCUUUAAUCUAGUCCCUGUUCUCAAAAUAUUGUUGUUAAUAUUUUUGACAAUUUUUAAAAAAUAAUUUUUCUCAUCUUCACACAGUGUUAAGGAUUUGCAGUCUAUGGAGGCAGCUGUUGAGCCUCUUAAUGAGGGAAUUUUCUCUCUCUGUAACAUUUGCAAGUCUCUCUUUGAUGCUCAAGUUGAUCAAACCACUGACAUGUGCUCCAAUUACAAACAAACCAGGGGACAUAUUGAGAACACUGAGCGGUGCCUGGAAAAAUCUGAGACGAUAAGUAAAGAAAAACUGGGAUCUUUGGAUGAAUGCAUAGAGCGAUUUACUAAAGAAAAAGGAAAUUAUGAGCAGCAGAAGAAGGAAAAAUGUAUGGCCAAUGAUAAAUUAAAUACUGAGAAGAACUCUGCUGAAGAAUUGUUAAAGAAUGCCAAAGCAGCUUUGGAGCAGGCAGAAAAAAAUGUAGAAUCAGCAAAAUAUGCCUUAAGAGUACAUCAAGACAGGAAGAGCACAGGUGAUGGGCUAGUGAUUGCAGGGGCAGCACUGCUUGCAUUACCAUUUAUUGGAUGGAUUUCUGGUUCAAUCAUGAUCUGUGAGGGAGAACGUUUAAUUAAUGAGGCUUCAAGGGCUAUCAGGGAUGCUGAAGAUGAGCUUGAAGAAAAUGAGUCUAAGGUGAAUGAGAACAGCAAGAAAGUGUCUAAUUACCAAUCCAGGAUCUCUAGCAUACAGAAUGAGAUUGAAGAGACUGAUAAGGUGCUGAAUAAAAUUCAGAGGGAGACUGAAGAGGUGAACCAGCAUCUAGAGGUCACAGCUGAAUUUCAAGAAAUUGUCAGGAAGGCUGUGAACGCUGUGAGUGUUCUUAGGGGUAGAGUCACUGUACUGGAGAGACAAACACAACGAUUCGUCCUCUGGCAGCCUGUGAUAAAGGCCAUUAAGGAUGUGAUGAAGGCAGCUGAAAAUGUUGCAGGGGAUCGCCUCCUCUACAGUCAGGGUGUGUCUGGCCUCAUAAAUACAUUGAGGGAGAAAACUGGAGAACUAGAGGCUUUAUGCAACUCACCCAAUAAUUCUGAACAAGACAGCUAUUACUGAUCAUCAUCUAAUUGUACAAUGCAUAAAGAAAAUGCUGUACAUGUGUAAGGGGGCAAGAAACAAAUGACAACAAGACACUAAAAAACAAGUGGUGUUUCAUAUAAAAGCAUGACAUAGCAAUGGCCAACCUCAAAAGUAUUAUAGUGAAUCAACUGUCUUUUUCAUAUUGAAAUGUAAUGAGUGAUCAG